rnacentral:rRNA from 1 species
UGGGGAAUAUUGCACAAUGGGGGCAACCCUGAUGCAGCGACGCCGCGUGAGCGAUGAAGGUUUUCGAAUCGUAAAGCUCUGUCCUAUGGGAAGAUAAUGACGGUACCAUAGGAGGAAGCCCCGGCUAACUACGUGCCAGCAGCCGCGGUAAUACGUAGGGGGCGAGCGUUGUCCGGAAUUACUGGGCGUAAAGGGUUCGCAGGCGGCAUGGCAAGUCCGAUGUAAAAGGCGAAGGCUCAACCUUCGUAAGCAUCGGAAACUGUCAAGCUUGAGUGAAGGAGAGGCAAGUGGAAUUCCUAGUGUAGCGGUGGAAUGCGUAGAUAUUAGGAGGAAUACCGGUGGCGAAGGCGACUUGCUGGACUUCAACUGACGCUGAGGAACGAAAGCGUGGGUAGCAAACAGG